UAAAGACAGUCAAGGUAUAUAAUAAUAAAUUACUUUUACAUUUUGUUAGUGUUACCUUUUUAUUGUAAUGUAUUGUUUUUUCUAGAGGUGGGAGAUACAAAAAAAAGUUUCGUAGUUAAAAUGGUAAAAGUAGGAUUUAAAAAGUUACUUUUCAUUUAUAAAUAAUACUAUUUUAUUUUAAAGUAUUGCUUGUUUUUUAGAGAAGGCAGAGACAAUACAAAACUUUUUAGUUAAAAACAGUAAAGAGAUAGUAAAUACAAGAAAAAACUGCAUAGUUGAUGAUACAGAAGGUAUGUAUUAUUCAGUGGCGCAUUAUGUAUUAUUCAGUGGCGAUUUUUAUGUAAACCUAUUUAAAGAAUUAAUUUAAACAUUAUCCCACCUGGUGAAAAAGUAGGUGUAGAAUUUUAAAACAGGUAAUCUUCAAAUAAUGUUAUAGUCUUUAUUUUAUUAGAUGAAACGCUUAUGCUUAAAAUUUGAUGAAAUUAUGCUUAAAUUGCAUUUCAUAAAUAGGUCACGGAAUAAUAAAAUGUCUCCGUAUUAUAAACCUUGUAAAAGUCAUUAUGGGUAUAUAUCCAGAUUUAGGUGGCUGCAAGGUAUACGAUUAUUCGUUACUAGACAUUUUAAACGAAUGUCUCAGUGACGAAGCUGUUUAUAUUUAUCUCAAAAUAUUAGUAAAGAAAAACAGUAAAGAAAAGGUAUGAUUAAUUGAUGUACUUCAAAAUAAAUUCUUUGUACAAAAAACAAUGUUGCAUUUUUUUUUUUUUUUUGUCUUCAUUUAAAUAAAAUUUCAAUUCUAAAUAUAAAAUAAUAUAUUGAAUGCCAUUCCAUAUAUUGAUGGUUUGAAGAAUCGAAUCGAAGUACUUUUGCCAGCUCUCACUAGAUGAACUGCUAAUUAAAACUGAUUUAAUGCGAAGACGGUAUAAGGUAUUCAAAAAUUUUUAUCUAAAAAAAUUAAUGGUUCAUUAAUUUAAUUAUAGAGUAUUUACAUAUGGUAUAUCAUGUGGAGUAUUCUGCCUAAAGUUUGCUCAAAGUUAUAUAAAUGGAGAAAAUUGGCGCGUGUCUUUCCACAUGAAGAAGUUAAUGCAUUGUUUUAAGAAAUGAAACUUUAUUUUGUUGUGAACAUAUUUAUACAUAAAUG